rnacentral:rRNA from 1 species
UACGUAGGGAGCAAGCGUUGUCCGGAAUCAUUGGGCGUAAAGCGCGCGUAGGUGGCUUCGUAAGUCCGUUGUGAAAGUCAAAGGCUCAACCUUUGAAUGCCGAUGGAUACUGCGGGGCUAGAGUACGGAAGAGGCGAGUGGAAUUCCUGGUGUAGCGGUGGAAUGCGCAGAUAUCAGGAGGAACACCAAUAGCGAAGGCAGCUCGCUGGGACGUUACUGACACUAAGGCGCGAAAGCGUGGGGAGCGAACAGG